ACGGAAGGCAGCAGUGGGGAAUAUUGGGCAAUGGGCGAAAGCCUGACCCAGCAACGCCGCGUGAAGGAAGAAGGCCUUCGGGUUGUAAACUUCUUUUAUCAGGGACGAAGAACGUGACGGUACCUGAUGAAUAAGCCACGGCUAACUACGUGCCAGCAGCCGCGGUAAUACGUAGGUGGCAAGCGUUAUCCGGAUUUACUGGGUGUAAAGGGCGCGUAGGCGGGGAUGCAAGUCAGGUGUGAAAUCUAUGGGCCUAACCCAUAAACUGCAUUUGAAACUGUAUCUCUUGAGUGUCGGAGAGGUAGAUGGAAUUCCUAGUGUAGCGGUGAAAUGCGUAGAUAUUAGGAGGAACACCAGUGGCGGAGGCGGUUUACUGGACGACAACUGACGCUGAGACACGAAAGCGUGGGGAGCAAACAGGAUUAGAUACCCUGGUA
rnacentral:rRNA from 1 species